UUUUCUUUUUGGGGUAAACUGUUUUUCUGUUGGGGUAAAUUUGAUUUCUGCCUAAAAAACACAUUCUUAAUUAAUAUUUUUUUGCUGUGUAUUUGUGGUUUGUUUGUUUUAUAGAUACCCCACCCCUCACUCCUGAAAUGGUAGUAGGGCAACCCACUCCAGAAGUUGUCAGGAGUUUUGUUCUGGACAAAUCUUGGUGGAGCAAGCCACUGAGUUUGUCCCAGCAUGAACAGCUCCAAAACACUCUUGGCAUGAGUGAUGAGGAGGAGGUGGCAUACACUGAUCGCAUUGCAUUAACAAGAAAGGACUUCAUCACACUUGCUAAUCCUGUAGAAGUUGCCGAAAACGUAAGGACAUCAUGACAUACUAACAGUUUGAUAGAGUAGUACAGUGUUUUGUGGUAUAGUGUCCCUUUUUUCCCAUAGGUGCUGAAUUUGUGUUUCCAGCUUCUACAAAAAAUGGCUAGUCAACAGGUAGCAAAGAUCUUUUAACAGUUUUGGAACACUCAAGUCAGCAUAUUUUCCUCACAUCCACGCUGAUACCUAAAAUACUUUUUAGAACAUUGACAUCUUUGCUGCUGAUUGCCAUGUGACUGUCACUUGGUUGCCCCCAUAUUCAGCAGACCCCAUGGAUCACCUCCCUGUAUGUACCAAUAGAAUGAUUCAUAGUUAUUCUUCACACUAAAGUGUUUGUCAUUCAAAGCUAAACCUAGCGCGUGAACAUAUAAUGCUUCUGUCUGUCUGUAGGUUGAUGUGAAAAUGCUUACCUCUUCUUAAACCCUUUUUGAUGUCUUUUUCUAACCUUUAACUUAACACAUAGGGCAUUCUCAAGCAGAGAGGCUCUACUAGUUGUGGGGUGUUCAUCCUAAUAGUACGAAAUAUUGCCAUCCUUUGUUCCUUGCAUAAUUUCUUCCUGUAAUCUUGUGGUUUGUUCAUGGAUAUUCAAUUUGUUUGUUUACAGUAUGAUGUCUACAUCAUGUUUGGCCUCUAUUUUGACUUCACAGAGGUGUGUUUUUCAAUCGCUUUUUAACAUUUCAUCUUAUAAGGUCUAUGUUUCAAUUCAAAUAUGUGCUUUUCCACAAACUUCCACAGACAUGAACAUUGCAAGGCGAUGGCGGUCACUUCUGUUGUUGGACAACUUUCCACCAAGGUAACUCCUAUUAACUAGGGUUUUUCCAACUGUUUUUAACUCUUAUGAAAAAAGUGGACAUUUGAACCCUUCUAUAUGUUGCCAUCCAUAAGAUUUACUUAUGUCAAACCUUUGCUGAAGGCUGUCAUCUGACAGAAAACAGAAAAAGGGAGCCACAGAUAACCAACACACCAGGACAGUGUGGUAAUAUGUUCUUUCUUAAGUUUUUGGCAA
rnacentral:lncRNA from 1 species